GAUCCUGACUCAGGAUGAACGCUAGCUACAGGCUUAACACAUGCAAGUCGAGGGGCAGCGGGGAAGUCAGCUUGCUGACUUUGCCGGCGACCGGCGCACGGGUGAGUAACACGUAUCCAACCUUCCCGUUACUCUGGAAUAGCCUUUCGAAAGAAAGAUUAAUACCGGAUAGUAUCGAGAGAUUGCAUGAUUACCCGAUUAAAGAUUCAUCGGUAACGGAUGGGGAUGCGUUCCAUUAGGCAGUUGGG
rnacentral:rRNA from 1 species